rnacentral:rRNA from 1 species
GACGUAGGGCGCGAGCGUUGUCCGGAUUUAUUGGGCGUAAAGAGCUCGUAGGCGGUUUGUCGCGUCGUCCGUGAAAACCUGCAGCUCAACUGCAGGCUUGCGGUCGAUACGGGCAGGCUAGAGUUCGGUAGGGGAGACUGGAAUUCCUGGUGUAGCGGUGAAAUGCGCAGAUAUCAGGAGGAACACCGGUGGCGAAGGCGGGUCUCUGGGCCGAUACUGACGCUGAGGAGCGAAAGCGUGGGGAGCGAACAGG